AUUGAACGCUGGCGGCAUGCUUUACACAUGCAAGUCGAACGGUAACAGGCCGCAAGGUGCUGACGAGUGGCGAACGGGUGAGUAAUGCAUCGGAACGUGCCCAGUCGUGGGGGAUAACGCAGCGAAAGCUGCGCUAAUACCGGAUACGAUCUAUGGAUAAAAGCGGGGGACCGUAAGGCCUCGCGCGAUUGGAGCGGCCGAUGUCGGAUUAGGUAGUUGGUGGGGUAAAGGCUCACCAAGCCAACGAUCUGUAGCUGGUCUGAGAGGACGACCAGCCACACUGGGACUGAGACACGGCCCAGACUCCUACGGGAGGCAGCAGUGGGGAAUUUUGGACAAUGGGCGCAAGCCUGAUCCAGCAAUGCCGCGUGCAGGAAGAAGGCCUUCGGGUUGUAAACUGCUUUUGUACGGAACGAAACGGCUCUGGUUAAUACCUGGGGCUAAUGACGGUACCGUAAGAAUAAGCACCGGCUAACUACGUGCCAGCCGCCGCCGUAAUAC
rnacentral:rRNA from 1 species